GAACUACUAGAGUGGACUACUAAAUAGGAAGUGAUAGGAGUUAGUUACAAAAGUAAACACUCCUAAUUAGAGCAUAAUAAGUCUAGGUGCAGUCCAGUAGGAUAAGUACUAGUUUUACAGUACCAGGAAUGUCCUACUAUUAUUUAGAUAGGUCAAAACUGGCAACGUCCUCAAGCCACCAACAUCAAGCUUACUUAAAACCUGGAGGGGCGCAAAACAGAAAGCGUGAGUGGGCAAAAACAAAUGUUUUACAAAACCAUUUCAUUUAUCAACAUAUCUAACCCCUCACUGUAAAACAUGUAUAAUUUUUCCCAAAAUCAAGAUAUAAGCAUAUACAUAAUUAUAUAUGAAAUCAUAUCAACUCAAUUCAUGCUUCACAUAAUCAUAUUCAUACGUAUGCCAUGCCAAGAUAUAACAAAGUAAGCAAUUCAGGUAAGAAUAAUUUCAUAGAAAUAUAACAUAUUAGCCGAAACCCCUGUGGUAGUCUGUACGGCUGAAUUGAUAGCUCAAAGGUCACUCUAGCCGGAGUCACUACAAUGACCUAUACGGCAACAUACUGCACAAGAGUCGGAACCAAAUAGAAAGGUCUAUACGACAAUAAUGAGUGUAAUAUAAUCAUGCUCAACACUACUCUCACAUAAUAGUUGGACGAUAAAUCGCUAGUCACCUACUAGUCGGAACCAUAAAUAAGGUCUGUACGACAAGACUGUGCAUCUAAAUUGGAUCCAAUAUGAGCAUAUGGUGUGGGAGGUGACAUAAUAAACAGGCCUGUGCCAUAUCUAUGGCUAAAUCACAAUCACCCUAAGUGCAGUUUUAUGAGCUCAACCUUAUUCAAUCACAUGUCACAUCAUCGAUGAUUCACAUAACCAAACACAACUUACCUGAACUUACCUGAGCUUACCUGAGUAUCCACAGCACCACAUUUAUAUAUAUAAAGCAUCACAUACCAAAUCAUGUAUGAAUUAUAAACUUAUAUGCAUGGCAUUUAUGGCAUACUAUUAUUUAAACACAUAUUUAUGGGAAAAUAUCAAGUAUAUAAUAUAUAUUGAAAACGAAAAGCCCACUCACUGGUAAGUCGAAGGGUCGUAGC
rnacentral:lncRNA from 1 species